UAAGAGCAUCUCUUACACUUACACAUAUAACUACACUAAUGUUGUGGACUUCCAUCGAAACCUCACUAAUAAAGCUUGUCGAGUUCUAAUUUACAGUGGUGAUCACGACAUGGUUAUUCCAUACGUUGGUACACUAGACUGGAUAGAGUCUCUCACAUCGACGGUUGAUACUGAUUGGAAACCAUGGUUUGUCGAAGGUCAAGUGGCAGGAUUUACAGAGAAGCUUACAAAUAUCAAGUACUGGUUGACAUA